rnacentral:rRNA from 1 species
ACUCCAUCUAAGGCUAAAUAUGACCACGAGACCGAUAGCGAACAAGUACCGUGAGGGAAAGUUGAAAAGGACUUUGAAGAGAGAGUUCAAUAGUACGUGAAACCGUUCAGGGGUAAACCUGAGAAACCCGAAAGGUCGAAAGGGGAGAUUCAGCGUGUUUCGAUUGUUGCGCUAAGCAAUCGUGUGACGAACGACGUACGCGUUAUUCGCGCCUUUUGCUUUCCGAACUUCAGUCGAACGCGUGCACUUCUCCCCCUGUAGGACGUUGCGAUCCGUUGGGUGCCGGUCUAAGGCUUGUGGUGGAGACCGUUCGCACAGCUUGCUGUUUCGUUCGGACCCGCAAUGUUUCCCGGUCGGCUCGCUCGACGGUAUAUAGAUGGCGCGGGGCCGCUAAAUAAUUAGCGUUCGAUUCUUGGCAAGCGCGCUCGUCGUGAUAGCGAUCGGACCUAGUGCCGGUCCUGUCCCCGAGUGGCUGUUCGCUAAGUUUUUCUCGAACAGACCUCGUUGAAACGCCGAUCUGCGACGCUAUAGCUUUGGGUACUUUCAGGACCCGUCUUGAAACACGGACCAAGGAGUCUAGCAUGUGCGCGAGUCAUUGGGAAAUUACUAAACCUAAAGGCGCAAUGAAAGUGAAAGUCAGCCUUGCGCUGACCAAGGGAGGAUAGGUGAUCGUUACGGCUAUCGCCUCGCACUCCCGGGGCGUCUCAUUCUCAUUGCGAGAAGAGGCGCACCAAGAGCGUACACGCUGGGACCCGAAAGAUGGUGAACUAUGCCUGGUCAGGACGAAGUCAGGGGAAACCCUGAUGGAGGUCCGUAGCGAUUCUGACGUGCAAAUCGAUCGUCGGAACUGGGUAUAGGGGCGAAAGACUAAUCGAACCAUCUAGUAGCUGGUUCCCUCCGAAGUUUCCCUCAGGAUAGCUGGCGCUCAUUACACACGAGUUUCAUCCGGUAAAGCGAAUGAUUAGAGGCAUUGGGGUCGAAACGGCCUCAACCUAUUCUCAAACUUUAAAUGGGUGAGAUCUCCGGCUUGCUCGAAC